rnacentral:rRNA from 1 species
UAGGGAAUCUUCGGCAAUGGGGGGAACCCUGACCGAGCAACGCCGCGUGAGUGAAGAAGGUUUUCGGAUCGUAAAGCUCUGUUGUUAAGGAAGAACGAGUGUGAGAAUGGAAAGUUCAUGCUGUGACGGUACUUAACCAGAAAGGGACGGCUAACUACGUGCCAGCAGCCGCGGUAAUACGUAGGUCCCGAGCGUUGUCCGGAUUUAUUGGGCGUAAAGCGAGCGCAGGCGGUUAGAAAAGUCUGAAGUGAAAGGCAGUGGCUCAACCAUUGUAGGCUUUGGAAACUGUUUAACUUGAGUGCAGAAGGGGAAAGUGGAAUUCCAUGUGUAGCGGUGAAAUGCGCAGAGAUAUGGAGGAACACCGGUGGCGAAAGCGGCUCUCUGGUCUGUAACUGACGCUGAGGCUCGAAAGCGUGGGGAGCGAACAGG